rnacentral:hammerhead_ribozyme from 1 species
AUCUAGUUGACGAGUCUCAAAUAGAAUGAAACGUACGUUCUAGAU